AGCUGCAGGAGGCCAUCCGGGAGCUGCAGAGCGAGAAUGCCCAGCUGCAGGGCCGGGUGCAGAACCUCAGCCAGGCCCUGGGUGAGCUGCGUCUGCUCGUCUGGAACCGCUCGCGGGAUUCAGGAGCCGCGCCUGAGCACCUACUUCUCGACCACCUGCCCUGCCGGCCGGACCCGCCCCAUGGCCGCGGUGCCGCCCCCCAGCUCCACGCCCCCUGCCUGGGGCUGCUGGUGGCCGGCCUGACCCUGGGGGCGCUGGCCCUGCAUGACCCCCUCCUGCUGCCGGUGGGGGACUGAGACACUGUGCGCCCCUGGCUGCUGAGCCCCCCGGCUAUGGGGGGGGGGACUGACCCCCACCCUCUUAGGAGGCUGAAGAGCAAAGAACUAUGAGGGGAGGGGCUGGAGUUGGGACAGAUUUGGGAUGGGAAAUCCCCCCCGCCAAGCAACCCUACAAAAAUAAACAGCCUGGGGCAACACG